GACAGAGGGUGCAAACGUUGUUCGGAAUUACUGGGCGUAAAGCGCGCGUAGGCAGCAGCGUGUGUCGGGCGUGAAAUCCCACGGCUCAACCGUGGAAGUGCACUCGAAACUGUUUGGCUUGAGACCGGGAGAGGUGAGUGGAAUUCCCAGUGUAGCGGUGAAAUGCGUAGAUAUUGGGAGGAACACCAGUGGCGAAGGCGGCUCACUGGACCGGAACUGACGCUGAGGCGCGAAAGCGUGGGGAGCAAACGGG
rnacentral:rRNA from 1 species